rnacentral:rRNA from 1 species
CCUGAGAAACGGCUACCACAUCCAAAGAAGGCAGCAGGCACGCAAAUUACCCACUCCCGGCACGGGGAGGUAGUGACAAAAAAUAACGAUACGGGACUCAUAUGAGGCCCCGUAAUCGGAAUGAGUACACUUUAAAUCCUUUAACAAGGAUCCAUUGGAGGGCAAGUCUGGUGCCAGCAGCCGCGGUAAUUCCAGCUCCAAUAGCGUAUAUUAAAGUUGUUGCGGUUAAAAAGCUCGUAGUUGGUUCUGCGUGCUACGCUGUCGGUUCGCCGCCUGCCGGUGUAACUGGCAUGCCGUGGCAUGUCCUGUCGGUGGCGUUCGGGUGCCUUGUCUAGGUGAGACCUCCGUUUCGUAAGGGAUGGGUGGUUAUUCAACCGGAGGUUUCCCCGUUCGCCUACUCUAUCCUACCUAGGUGCUCUUCACCGAGUGUCGAGGUAGGCCGACACGUUUACUUUGAACAAAUUAGAGUGCUCAAAGCAGGCUGAAAUUUCUGCCUGAAUAGUGGUGCAUGGAAUAAUAAAACAGGACCUCGGUUCUAUUUUGUUGGUUCUUAGGAACACGAGGUAAUGAUCAAUACGGACAGGCGGGGGCAUUCGUAUUGCGACGUUAGAGGUGAAAUUCUUGGAUCGUCGCAAGACGCACAAGAGCGAAAGCAUUUGCCAAGUAUGUCUUGAUUGAUCAAGAACGAAAGUUAGAGGUUCGAAGGCGAUCAGAUACCGCCCUAGUUCUAACCAUAAACGAUGCCAGCCAGCGAUCCGCCGAUGUUCCUCCGAUGACUCGGCGGGGAGCUUUUUCCCGGGAAACCAAAGCUUUUGGGUUCCGGGGGAAGUAUGGUUGCAAAGCUGAAACUUAAAGGAAUUGACGGAAGGGCACCACCAGGAGUGGAGCCUGCGGCUUAAUUUGACUCAACACGGGAAACCUCACCAGGCCAGGACAUUGGAAGGAUUGACAGAUUGAUAGCUCUUUCUUGAUUCAGUGGGUAGUGGUGCAUGGCCGUUCUUAGUUGGUGGAUCGAUUUGUCUGGUUAAUUCCGAUAACGAACGAGACUCUAGCUUAUUAACUAGGCGUUUUCCGGUGCCCUCGUCACCGGCGACACUCAUUCUUCUUAAGGGGACAAGCGGCUUAUAGCCGCACGAGAUUGAGCAAUAACAGGUCUGUGAUGCCCUUAGAUGUCCUGGGCCGCACGCGCGCUACACUGAAAGAAUCAGCGUGUGCCUCCCUGGCCGAAAGGCCCGGGUAAUCCGCUGAACCUCUUGCGUGCUAGGAAUUGGGGCUUGCAAUUGUUCCCCAUGAACGAGGAAUUCCCAGUAAGCGCGAGUCAUAAGCUCGCGUUGAUUACGUCCCUGCCCUUUGUACACACCGCCCGUCGCUACUACCGAUUGAAUGAUUUAGUGAGGUCUUCGGACUGGCGGUAAUCCCUACCGACUUGUCGAUAUCGAUGAACGCUGGAAAGAUGACCAAACUUGAUCAUUUAGAGGAAGUAAAAGUCGUAACAAGGUUUCC